UCCUGCAAAGAGAAAAUAAAAAUAAUUGUAAAUACUAUAAUACAUUGGGAAAAAAAUUCUGUAACAAUAUUACAUACAUAAUUAUUAGUAUGCAAUAUAAUUAAUAUCACUGUACAUGUUUAUAGAUCAUAAAUUAUACUAUUAUAAAACAGAAUACAUACAAUGUAAUUUUAUAAGAUUAUAUGGCAUUAUAUUAGGCUAUAAUGAAAUACAGUGCAUUACUAUAUCUUUAUAAGAAUGCAUUAUAUUACAGUGAUCACUAAUACAAAGGAAUUGCAUAUUCAGAUUGCUGCUUUUUUAAUUUGAUCUUCAAUAUUCCUCAAACAUUCCUUGUUACAUUUCAAACCAGAACUUAGUGUUUAAGACACAUUAGUGUGUUGACAGAGAAGUUUCAAUGCAGACAAGAGGACGAUUCUUCUGAACAUGCACUUAAAAGAGCUGUAAGUAUCUUAAACUGCAAGUAUCUCCUUCAAUACAGGGUAUGGCAAAAGGGCACUGGGCAAUUUUAAUACUGCCCAGAAAUCAGUAGUAAACCAGUCCUUGAUUAAGGAACACACCCCAUGCUUCCUCCUCACAGGAGAUAAUUUUUCCUCCCAAAUAAUUCUACUGAGGGGGUUACAAGAAACAAUUCAUGGACUAAAGCAUGUUAUGCAAGUAAACAGAUCAGGAUUUGCUCUGACAUCCCACUGUACAAUGUUACUACUACUACUUCUACAAACAGUAAUAACAGUGAAAAAUGUGAAAUGCCACUUUAAAUAUUAUACUGACUCAGAGAUAUGUGAAUUAAUUGAUUUUGCAAACACUGUAAAGCUCUGGGUUCAGAAACUGUCCAAAACAUUGAUUUCUCUACAGAUACACCACAGCAGGUAUUCACAAAAGGAACAGCAGCUAACACUAUAAAAAAUAAACUGUAAACACCCACUAUGGGAAAAAUUUCAGAGUUCGUUUUAACAGAAGCAUAAAAAUAAAAUGUAGCUGAAAACCAACCAUUUAACAGAGCAUGAAUGGCUGCAGAAAAAAAGAACUCAAGAAAGUUUCAUUAAAAAAAAAAGAUUGUUAUGAAGCCAGCUGCUAAAGGACACUCAGCAAGCUAAUUCAGAUCUUGUUUUUAAUGCACAGAUGCAGACCUGACAAGAGAGCAGCCACAACAGCCCUUUAGAGACAGCCACCUGAUCAGACAGAAGAGCAGCAAGGAAAAAAGAAGCAACUUUAUUCACACAAGCCCUUUAUACUCUCUAAGUUAAACUUUCAGAUGCAGAGAGUAAAGUCAUGCUGAAAGUUUUCUUGGAGUUUUCUGAGGCAUAACACUGACUUGGGCAGGCAUUAUGCUCUUCAGUCAGCAACAGAUACCAGGUUUUAUUGCAAGAGGAAAAUUCAACUGAACCUGAGGUUCUCAAAGAAAGCCUUCAAGAUCCUCAGCACUCUGAAGUGCUCUCUUCCCUUAUGGUGUCUGACUGCCUUAGGAUUCAAGACGUCCUGUCCACUGGCCAGCACUGUUGUCACCCUUGAAGGGUCAAAACCAUGAAGACUGAACAAACUGAGAUGGAAAAUGUUCUGAUCUUUAAUUCCUCUGCUGCUGACAAAGAGAGCUCUAUACAGUUGCAGACAUGACUUUACUAGGAUCGUCAUGUUCAAAGAGAUGAGCAUCAAACAAAUGCUACUACAUUAAAAAUAAAAGUUAAUAUGUAUCAUCUCAACCUACAUUAACCACAUAAUACAAAUAUUAUUGCCAAACCAUAAUGAAGUGUAAAACUGAACGAAUAAAUUAAAAAAAAAUA